rnacentral:rRNA from 1 species
CGUCCGGCGACCGGCGCACGGGUGAGUAACACGUAUGCAACCUGCCCUCUUCAGGGGGACAACCUUCCGAAAGGGAGGCUAAUCCCGCGUAUAUCGGUUUCGGGCAUCCGAGAUCGAGGAAAGAUUCAUCGGAAGAGGAUGGGCAUGCGGCGCAUUAGCUAGACGGCGGGGUAACGGCCCACCGUGGCGACGAUGCGUAGGGGUUCUGAGAGGAAGGUCCCCCACACUGGUACUGAGACACGGCCCGGACUCCUACGGAAGGCAGCAG